GACGAACGCUGGCGGCGUGCCUAAUACAUGCAAGUAGGACGCAGUUGCGAACGGGUGAGUAACGCGUAGGUAACUACCUAUUAGAGGGGGAUAACUAUUGGAAACGAUAGCUAAUACCGCAUACUAGUAGAUGGACCUGCGUUGUAUUAGCUAGUAGGGAGGGGAAUGGCCUACCUAGGCAACGAUACAUAGACGAGCCUGGAGGGUGAGCGGCCACACGGGGACUGGGACACGGCCCAGACUCCUAAGGGAGGCAGCAGUAGGGAAUCGUCGGCAAUGGGGGGAAUCAUGACCGAGCAACGCCGCGUGAGUGAAGAAGGUGUUCGGAUCGGAAAGCUCUGUUGUGAAGGAAGCGGUACUUAACCAGAAAGGGACGGCUAACUACGUGCCAGCCGCCGCGGUAAUAC
rnacentral:rRNA from 1 species